GAUCAUGGCUCAGGAUGAACGCUAGCUACAGGCUUAACACAUGCAAGUCGAGGGCAGCAUGAACUUAGCUUGCUAAGUUUGAUGGCGACCGGCGCACGGGUGAGUAACACGUAUCCAACCUUCCGUUUACUCAGGGAUAGCCUUUCGAAAGAAAGAUUAAUACCUGAUAGUAUGGUGAGAUUGCAUGAUAGCACCAUUAAAGAUUUAUUGGUAAACGAUGGGGAUGCGUUCCAUUAGGUAGUAGGCGGGGUAACGGCCCACCUAGCCGACGAUCAGUAGGGGUUCUGAGAGGAAGGUCCCCCACAUUGGAACUGAGACACGGUCCAAACUCCUACGGGAGGCAGCAGUGAGGAAUAUUGGUCAAUGGACGAGAGUCUGAACCAGCCAAGUAGCGUGCAGGAUGACGGCCCUAUGGGUUGUAAACUGCUUUUAUAAGGGAAUAAAGUGGGAGUCGUGACUCUUUUUGCAUGUACCUUAUGAAUAAGGACCGGCUAAUUCCGUG
rnacentral:rRNA from 1 species